rnacentral:lncRNA from 1 species
AGCAAUGCAAAUCUUUAACCUCAUGAAUUUUCCAAUCAAAGUACAUAUCACAGAGUACAACUGAGGCACAUCAAGCUCGGCACAAAGGAAUAAACCAAGUAAUGUUUAAUAGAUCAGGCUUGAGUAGCACAUAGGGCAGCGAGAUAGUACAAAAUAUUGAAAGCUAAGCAUUUACACAGGGGGCUAGUGACAAUCAGAUAGCAGUCCUUCGCCAAGAAUGGUUGAAGUUCCUCGUCGCUCAAAGAAAAGUUGAGUAACGUUGGCCUGAAAGUGAUGAAAAAACCAUAUUCCUGGAGAGGAUAUCUCAACAUUUUUACAAAAAUUGAUAUCUACAGUGACUAAAAAGGAACUAUCAAGAAGGCAAGAUUAGUAAACUGACAUCAAGCAACUCAUGUAUGUUUCCUUUAAAUUAGUUUGGGGAGUGUGGUAGAAAAUGCAGCCGAAACUACCAAGAGAAUCAAGAUGGUUUAGUACGACAUAACACAAGCAGGCCAUAGUAGUAGUUUGAGCCAAUCUAAGAGCACUAUUUUAAUAUGGCAUAGCAAUAUAAACUUCGUCAAAACAUCUUGGCAUCUGGAUAACUGGUCAUCAGGGCUGAAGCAAAUGAUUCUCGAGUCUCGACGUCAAUCGACCAUCAGUGGUGAGUCUCCUGCAUGAAGAAGGCAUUGUCAUUUAUCAGUAAGAGGUUAGUCAGCAAAUAUGUCACCUAAAGACGUACAGCAUGAAGAAAACGGAUCGAUAUUAGGCGCAUGUAAAAAUGUGUCAAACAGAUAUAAGAACAAAAGACUCUACAUUCUGAAGUAUGACUGGGGCAGUAGGGUUAAAAACAUGACGACAGCUGCGACCAACUCAAUCAGGAAACUAAUACCUAUAAAGGGAAAUGCAGGCAUGUCUCAAUAGAUAUAAACAACAAAGUUUGUUAUCUAUAUUGAAUGAAAUAGAUCAAUGUAAACUCGCCAUGAAAUGAGACCAAAUAUAUGGGGCUCCAUGGGCAAACAACACCUUUAUUGCUUCAUGCUGAACUACUUUAUGUAAGAGAAAAUUUUAAGCUUUAGUGGCAAGCAGGCAGGUGAAGUGUCAUAUUAGUAAAUGUGCAAAAGGUUAUCUAUUGAAUACCAUGUGAAUGGAACAUGUCUGCCUUGCAUACAAUUUGGAGACUAAAGAAGCUCAAACCAAAGCACCAGAUGAAUUUAAAGCAGCAAUUGCGAGAACAAAUACUUGGUCUACAGAAUGUUCCUAGAGCUCCACCACAAAAAUGUGUUGGUCUAUUAUCUCUUCCCCUGGAGCAAAGCAAGAUGGAAAAUGAAGAAUGAAAACAAUGCGUUUAAAUAAGGGACAUGCCAGGAGGGUGGCUCGGUGUGCAAGAAUAUAAAUUCAGUACUUGUCCUCCACCGUUGUCGACGAUGCAGCCACCUCCAUGCGGCCAUUGUGUCACCACAGUUGUUUCUCAAUUAAAAUGUGAACCAUCCAAAGGAAAUUUAUUAUUAAAGCUUGUAGCGAACCACCUGUGUAAGGAAGGUUUCAUUGUUUAUCAAUAAAAAACAAUUUGCAAAGCUUAAUCAGCAAAGUUCGGGAAAGCGCGCUUAAUCGAGCGCUUAUGCGCGCCUACGCGCAAGGCGCUGGCCUACCGCCUCGCAUAGGCCAUGUGCGCUCGUAAAGGCGCGACGCGUGCCUAGGCGGAGCGCUUUUCUCGCUAAGGCGAGCUUAAGCGCGCGGAACAGCGCAGAACGGACGCUUAAUGGCGCAGAACGACGAGAGGGGAUCCAUCGGGGAAUCAGGAUAAAGAGGCAGGGAGCCACGGGAUGAAAGGCAGAGGGUCAAAAUCAAGCCCGUGUUAGGGUUAGGGUCUCCUCUCCUCCAUUCCUCGCGUCGCCGGACUCUCCUUGGGGCCGCCGGCAGCAGCACGCCCUCCGCCGUGGAUCUGAAGCUCCUCCUCGCGCCUCUCCUGCUCGGGCCCUCCCCCGCACCUCCGGUUCCUGGCCUUCGACCUCAUCCCGCCGUGGAUCUCGCGGCCUGGUCUUCUUCUCUUCAGGCAGGUGAGCCCCCAGAUCCCCAUCGAGCCUACCUUCUACUACUAGCUUCUGUCUGUUGCUACUUUGCUGGUGCUACUAGUUGCCGCUGAAGUGAUGUUAGCUGCUGUUGGUGGUAGUUAGUGGUGUUGUUUACUAGUAGAGUAAAAGUAGUAGUACUUGGUGUUGUUGCCUGUUGCUGUUAAUUUGCUGCUGCUAGCUGCUACUGUUGUUUGAUGCUGCUACUACUUGUUUGCUGCUGAUGCUAGCUGAUGCUGAUGCUAGCUGCUGCUGCUACUUGUUUGUUGCUAAUGCUAGCUGCUGCUGCUGUCUGUGGCUACUAGCUGCUAAUUUGUGUUGUUGACUUGUUGUUGUAGGAUGUCAACAUCAGAGAACACCACCGCCGAAACAGAGUCUGAAAGGCCGAUAGCUCUUAAGAGGAAAUCCAAUGAUGUUGGAUGGAACUAUGGGAAACUAUGUGAUGUCACAAACAAGGAGAGGGUGAAGUGUGACUUUUGUGGCCAUAUUAGCACCGGAGGAAUUAACCGUUUCAAGCUACACAUCACAGGCACCACCUCAAGCGUUCUUUCAUGUUUAAGAUCAACUCCGGAGGCUAAAGCAAUAUGCCAGAGAGCACUUGAUGCAUAUGAGGCAAAGAAGGUGGCGAAGAAAAAACAUAUGGCAGAAGUGAGGGCUGAUGUGCAUGUUACAGCCCUAAAUGAAGCAAGGGAUGGUAGAGAAUCUGUUUGUGUUGGAAGCACAUCAUCGGAGCCCAACAAAUUAGGACCAAUGGACAAGUUUGUGCGUCCUAUUGAUGGUAAAUCAAGCAAAGAGGAAGCCUUUUAGCAGCUAAGUAUGAAUGAAGCACUAUUCGAGGAGAGAAGAGGUCAAUGUUCACCAUAUGUUGCUAGAUGGGUGUAUUCACAUGGUAAUUCUGAAGUCCUUCAUUUCUUUGCUUGCUUGUGCUUGAAAUGAUUGCUUGAUUGCAUUGUUUUGUUCCUUUGCUUGUAGGCAUACCAUUUAAUGCUCUUGACAAUGAUGAGUUUUGUCAAAUGUGUGAGGCCAUAGGCAAAUUUGGUCCUGGAUAUGAGCCUCCUACUCAAUAUGAGCUUAGGGAGAAGUUGUUGAGUGAUGAAUAUGCAAGGACCAAGAGUUUGUUAGAUGAACGUGAGAAGGAGAAGAUAAAGCUUAGGUGCACCAUCAUGACAGAUGCAUGGACGGACAUGAAGAGGAGGAGCAUAAUGAAUUUGUGCAUGCAUUGUAGUGGGGGGACAAGUUUUCUCAAAUCAAAGGAAACAUCCGAUGUGUCACAUACAAGUGAAGUCAUAUUUCAGCUAGUGGACAGCACAAUUGAGGAGGUAGGGGCGGAGCAUGUGAUGCAAGUGGUGACUGACAAUGCUUCCAAUAACAUGGGAGCCAAGAAAAUGUUGCUUGAGAAGAGGCCGAAGAUCUUUUGGAGCUCUUGUGCAACUCACACUAUCAACUUGAUGCUCCAAGGAAUUGGCAGCCUCAAGAGAUUCAAAACAAUAAUUGAUCAAGCAAAGAACCUCACCAUCUUCAUCUAUGCGCAUCACAAGACUUUGGCAUUGAUGAGGGUUGCUACAAAAAGGAGAGAUAUCAUAAGGCCGGGGGUGACUAGAUUUGCUUCCACUUUUCUCACAUUGCAAAGUUUGUUGGAGAAGAAAGAUGCUUUAAGGUAUAUGGUGGUUGAAAGAGCUUGGGAAGAUAUGAGUCAUGUGAAAACAAAGAAAGGCAAGGAUGCAACGGCAACGGUGAUGGAUGCUAACUUUUGGAAAGGUGUGCUCCUAUGCAUAAAGGUGUUUGAGCCAUUGGUGAGAGUUCUUCGUUUGGUUGAUUGGGAUAUUAAGCCAUCAAUGGCUUGGUUGUAUGGAGAGUUGGUGAAUGCAAAGAGGGAGAUGAAGGAGGCAUUUAACAACUUGGAGAGAAACUACAAAGAUACUAUGGGCAUUGUUGAAAAGAAAAUGAAUGGAAGGCUAGAUUCUCCACUGCACAUGGCCGCAUAUGUGUUGAACCCACACUACAGUUAUGCAGAUAGCUCCGUCUUUACCACUGCAAAUGAAGGAUUUCAGGAGUGUGUUGAACAAUACUAUGCAAAUGAUCAUGAUACUUGCAUGCUGGUUGUCAAUGACGAGUUUCUGAAAUAUGAAAACAAAGAAGGAACUUUUGGAAAGAAGCUUGCAAAAGCAUGUGAAAAUAAAAGCUACAGCCCCGGCAUACUUGCUUGCUCCUGCCCACUAGUUGCUACUCUUUUCUUGCUGCUACCAUGCUACUGCUGCUCCUACCUUGAUGCUGCUGCUACCAUGCUACUGCUGUUUUUUGCUGCUGCUACCUUGUUGCUGCUGCUACUACUAACUUGCUACUGCUAUAUGUUCUCCGAUUUCUAGUUGGUUGGUGGAAGCUUUAUGGAGGAGAAACACCAAAUUUGAAAGAAAUGGCUAUGAGAAUCCUCUCUCUGACCUCUAGCUCUUCUGGUUGUGAAAGAAACUGGAGUGCAUUUGAAUCGGUAUAUCUCUUCUCUCAAUUUUGUCUCCUCAUUUGUCUUGUCUCUCGUUUUUGUUUUUAAAUAUGCUCAUGCAAAAUGAUGUUUAAUAUGUAGAUACAUACCAAGAGAAGAAAUAGGCUCACAACGGAGCGAUGCAACAAUUUGGUCUUCAUAAGGUUCAAUAAUAGGAUGUUGUCUAGGAAACAAAAGCUCCUAGAGAAGAAGAAAUGGGAUGUGCUCAUUAGCACCGAUGCUACCGAAGCUCAAGGAUUUCUAUUUGAAGGAGGGGAUGAUUAUGCAAGUGUUGUUUAUCUUGAUGAGGAGGAUGGAGAUGUUCAUCCGGGUAUGGGGAUAUCAUGGGAUCUACUUGGUGAAGCAAUGGGAGCACAAGAGCAACUCCAACUUCGGAGGAGUGCAAGAGUGAGAGACCUUGAGGAGGAGUUUGAAUCCGAUCAUGAUGAUGAGAUGGUGGAUGAAGAUGAGAUUGAGUAUGAGGAUGAUUGAGAGGCAUUGAGCAUUUGAGCUAGUGAUCAUUGGCUCAUUGCAUGAUGGUUGGCAGCACCAUGCCAUUAAGUGAUCAAGUUAUCAUGCAUUUGUCUUUUGCUUGUUAUUUGUUAUGUAAGAGACUAUGAUGGAGUAUUCACGGGUGAGACUAUUGUGGAUCAUGGUCGUGGUACUUUGGUUUGGUAGCACUAAGCAAGUUUAAGACUUUUAUUUGUUAUGUAAUAUGCUUGCUUGUGAAGUUGUGAACUUGUGAUAUGUUCUGCCUAUUACAUUGCCUGUUUGCUACUUUGCUAGUUUGCUUUGAUUGCUCAUUCAAGUUGUGAACUUCAGAACUUGUGAUAUGUUCUGCCUAUUACAUUACAUUUUACAUAUAUGAAUGGUGAAUCUGAUAUAUAAUGCUUUGCUUGCUCGGUUGCUCCUUGCUUGUUGGUUGCUGCUGCUAACAUCUUGUCAUCUUCUCUAUGAUGUAUUUAGCUGUUGCACAAUGCAUUGGAGGGAGACGAUCAGAGUAGAACAUACAAAGAGGCAGGGGCAACAUAUUGGAGAGAGAACAAGGUUAUAAACUUAUAAUUGUACCUCCAGUUUACAUUCUAGCACUUUUUUAUGUCAAACUGCUCUUUUUUGCCCAUAUCCGUACAAUUAUAUAGAAAACGCAUAAUUGCGCCUAAUCACGCCUAAUCACGCCUAAGCUAGAAAAGCGCAAGUAGGUGGCCAAACGCAUAAUUAACGCCUAGCGCUUUCUCAAACUUUGUUAAUCAGACACACAAAGUUAAAUUGCAGAGCAGAAAAUAUUAAGGAACUAAAUGGCACAUGCUAGGAAAAUAGGAAGGCACAUCAAGGAGGUAUAUAUCAUAAUUAAUAGGGAGAGUAUUUUUUUCAAAGUAGAGAGAGGGGUCCUUCAUUACAAUUGUUCAUUCAAUUCUUGGAUCGUUUGAGCAAACAAAUCUGAUGAAACAAUACAAUAAUAUUAACAUGUAUACUCACAUUAUAUCCUCUUAUGAACAUUUACUCGGACAUUAACUCUCAUGAUUAUUUGAGUAAACAUAUAUAACAUCAGCGACCAAAGAGACGUGCACCUUAUAGAAUGCAUGUCGUGUAGGCAAACAAACCAAACAGAUACAUUACUUAUACUUAGGACAGUAAAUUUGCGUGCUUUGGUCGUCACUGAUUCCAUACAUAUAAAUCAAAAAAGGAAUAAUGCCACUGUUUGACGUUUGGUAUGAAAGGUGAACAGGGAAGCAUUCUCUUCAGGUAACCGGUGGUCUAACUGAACAAUUUUACGAAGUGGGGAAUUGAGGAACCAAUCCUUUGGUUCAGAAUCAUCUCUUACUAUUUUAGUCAAGGCACAUAGAGAACUAAAAUGCAGCUAUCAUUAAAUUCCCCACCAGCCACAAUGGCAACUACAGUUGGCCGUCUAUAUGAACCAGUUAUAAUCACUAAAAUAUCAUGGAUCCACAACAAACCAAGAAAGAGAUACCUCCAAAUGGAGGAGGCAAUCUCAACAAGACAGUUCGAAGGAAAUAACACAUCAAUACUACUAAGAAAACGAAGAUUGGUAGCUGCAGUGCAUGUAUUACAGUAGUACAUUGAGCACCUGAGACAGUAGCCGAAUCCGAAGGAGAAGUAGCCACACACCCAGCAACGACCCUGGCACCAAACUCUAACCUGGCAGUACUAUAAAACACAUUGACACUCAAUUCACAGCACAUAAAUAAUUAAUACAUAGUCACAAGUCAAAGAUAUAUUUCAAUGUUACCAAAGCCAUUUUCAGAAGCAAAUACCAGCACUUUAAGUAUACUGGAACAAAAAUAAACCAAAACUAAAAAAACUACUAACUAAUGUGGUCGAAAAACACCGGAUACUGAUCUAUGAAAUGUACCAACCUUAUUUUACUAAAUCUUCCACUACCAGAUGUGAUGUUAAAUAUCAAUUGAUAAUUACUAAUUUGUAUCUGCAAAGUAUCAUGAUAAAAAUGAAAUACCAGAUCAGUUAGAGAACACAAUUAUGCAAAAUACUGAUAAGAAAUCUGUAAAUAUUUGUGAUCGGUGUAUUUUUAAAAUAAAGCAAAUGCACCAUCUUAUCUUUCUUAUGUAGGUCAUGCCAGUUUUAAGCGAACUCUUUGACAUUUUCCAUAUAAAAAAAUGUAAGUGCAACCUUUCUAUACGACUGGCCAAUGUAAAAAGCGGUCAAUAAUCAAGAAGUAAUGAAACAUCGGUCAUUUCAGUUCACAACCAUAUGGCAUGGCACUAAUAGAAAUGGAGAUAGGUAACUGUUUCAAUGCCACCAUACCUUCAGAUUUCGGAGUUAUAGGGAACAUCCUACAGGGAUAAAUAUAGCCUCAUAAAAAGAACAUCCAGUCUUUACUUAGGGUAGAUUAAUCCCCAUUUGUAUUGUUAAUUGCAUGUAUUCUUCCUUUGUCUUCCUCUUGUGCUCAUUCACAGAUAAGCGCAUUGAUCAUGUAGAAUUUGUAAUGAUGUGCAACCUGCCAGCAUGCAACAAUUAUAUCAGCAUUAGAAAGUCAGGGGCAUUGGCAAACAACAAAUAGGUUAGGGAGAAAAAAGUUGACACGCAAAUUUUCAGUGCAAAAAGAAAUUGAUCCAACCAUGACUUCUACUGGUAAUGCUAAUAUAAAAUCUGAUAUAGCAGAAAGUAGUUUUAGCCUAGAAAGACAAGAUAGAUCAUAGUAGAAAUAUUUAAAAGCGGCAAAUCCACCUAUUAUAAUGCUCAGACCUAAGCUAAAUAGGACUAAAAUCUGGCUCCUAUUAUAAUGCUCAACCUAACCUGAAUAAACUAUAACUCACUCACUAAAUUGCACACAUAUACAACAAUCAUACAAUGCAUGCACCACAGGCAGAGCUCAGAUUAUAUAAACGACUGCAUCAUACUGACAGCACACUACUCUAGCUACACUCCAAUGAAUAUUUUUUUACAAAUCAUAUCUGCAAUGACAUUGGCUUGUUUGAUAUCCCCAACAGCACCACACGUGCAAGCAGUACCAACAAACACAUCAAUAGGUUGCUUCUAGGACAUAGCUAAAGGUACAAAAAAUCAGAGAAGGAACAAAAAUCACAUUUGUAUUCCAGAAAAAAAACAAGCAAGGAAGAAAAGGAGGCCACAAAAAUACAAGCAAGGAAUAAUACUCUUGGACUCUAUCUAGUCUUCCGACAAUAAGAGUACAAGAAACAGGCACACCCAUUGACCAGCCUGCACACCAACAGGAACAACAAGCAGACAUAGACUGAGUACAACAGCAGCUCCAGACAGGCAAGCUAGGCAAACCACAUGGCCGCAAAAACAUAUGCCUAGGCCUAGAAAGCAGAGAAGAAGAGGAGAAAGGGGCAGUGAUUACGAGUCGAACGGCUAGUCUAGACUAGUCGCUCGACUAGUCUACGAGUCGCAGAGUGGAUGUCGACUCAUUUUCUCGUGUAGACUACAAAUACGAGUCGAGCCGUGGAUGGACUAGUCGACGACUAGUCUGGACUAGUCGACAUAUAUGAGUCGAGCGACUCAAAAAAGAGAGCUGCCUCAGCUGGGACGAGGCGCCGCCAGCACCCACUGCCCUGCCGCCGCCGCCACCCACCGCAGGGACGGCGGAUGGCGCAGCCAGGUGCGGCGGCCGGCCGGAGCUCGUGCUCAGGCGGCGGCCAUGGCCGUGACCCGUAGGGGCACGCGGCCUUGAGACGGGAGAGAAGGAAGAGAGAGAGAGAGGAGAGGAAAGGAGGAGCCAUGGCGGUGGUCGGCGGGCUCGCCGGCGGCAGCGGCCGGGACCGGCGGAAGGCGGCAGGAGGCGCGGGUCGCGUGCGCGCAUGCUCUCGUGCGUGAUGGCGCUGGCGGCGGCGAUUGGAGAGGUCGGGAGCUAGGGUUCCAGUGGCUGGGGGCUAAGUAGGCUGGCCAUUUGGGCCCAAAUGGGCCAGCUGGGGGGUGAUGCAUGGUGCUGGGCUAGUAUUUAGACAGUGGCUGGUCCUAUUCCAUACCCACUUGGGCCCAGAACACUGCAUAGCUCAAUGAUUUAGACAGUGGCUGGUUUUAUUGCAUACUGUACUGUUAGUAACUUAGUAUAUACUACAUACUACCACUAGGUAUUAGUAGCUGAGUACUACAGUACCAUGUCGACUAGUCUAGCACUAGUCUAGACUAGUCUCGAUUAGUCUAUGAGUCUCUACCUCGAAACGACUCGUCGACUUGUCGACUCGUAAACCUUGGAAAGGGGUCGACCUGCAAAGCACCGGACGAAGACCCAACAGACUGGCACAGAUCGAACGACGAACCGACAAGAACAGCGAGCACGUGCGAACGAUGGACGAACCUGCAAGAAAACAAAACUCAAAAUUACAGAUGAGCUGCAGGUAACCAGAAUUUAGACGGACAAAACAAACAAGUACCUACAGAAGAACACAUCAACAUAUCUGGCAAGAUCCCAAAAUCGGCGGCUGGCCGUGCAACUGCAACUGGGGAGGCAAAUAGCAAUAACGGAAGUUACUUCGAGUUUGUUCCUUCAGAUUAGUGUUAAAGUAUGUCAAGAUUUAACUGACGCAAAGUAAAAUUGUCAAUGAAGGUAAAAGUGGCUGAAUGAAUGAAAGUAGCUAGGUUUUGCAAGCAUAAAGUUCCUUGCCAGGAAAUUAAACCCACAAUACUUGGAUAUUUGUUGGCACUUAUCGAAUAUUAACAGAAGUUCCUCACAGAGAUACUACAAUAGUAAUCCUAGAACAGUUUCUGCCAAAUAAAUUCUAAACCUCAGCUAGCAACAUAUUUGUGAAGCGCAACUGAAAGCUUGUUUAGAAAAAUAAAUCUAUAGCAAUAUAAAAAGACCCAAAGGGGCAGAUCCAAUUAAUCUCGGCCAUCAAAUCAUGUCAAUCCAACGACCUAGACUGCUUCAAUGUCGAGCGCUCAACACGUUUAGCGUGUAAUUAAUUUCAUGCCAAAUAUAAUAACACGCAAAUAAUAUCCUACUUAAUAUCCGCAUCCACUUGAUAUACUUCCAAAUUAAUGUGCAUUGCACGUACACAUUGACUAGUUUUUUAAAUAUGCGAUUAUCCCUUUUAAAGAUGAACUAAAUUAAUUUUUGAAUUAAGUACGCAAUCUAGUCCCUAGAAGAAUCAACUCGUAGGUGUGCAAUUCAAAUUUACUACACGUCCACUUUAUAAUCCAAGCACAGAAAAAAUCAAAGCAUGGUAAUAAAUGAAAGGAAGUACUAUCUCACAGACUGCAUUUUUACAAACCUAUAAUAACAAGGCAUGCAAAAUACUAAUGAAACAGUCAAUUUGGGUGGUGGCUACAAAACAUAAAAUAAGCUUCUUCAUUUCUAGAGGAAAAUAUAUAAAUCAACAAUCAGAUGGAGCAAGGCUGGCCUUUUCAAAGUUGCACUCUAGCCACAUAAUACUAAUACAGUCUAGGGGCGUUUGUUUUUGAUAAUCUACUAAUCUUUAGGAUAAGAAUGACAUUCUUUGCCCCAUGAGCAUCAGCGACAACAAAGCGGCGUCGCAUGAUGAAGCGGAUGCCGGCACAGGAAGAAGCUCAUGUAGGAUCUACAAGCCUACAAGGACUCAGACGAAGCGAGGCAUUGGCCUUCCGCUCCUCCAAGUUCUUCCAGCAUGAGGGAAGCUCCUGCCUGGUUCUAAGCAUGGUGAUUUCUCUAUAAUGCAGUUAGAUCAGACGAUCUCAGAGGAUGCAUUUUCCACGACAGUAAAUAGGAUCUGAAGAUUGGCCUCACUGGAAAAGUGAGUAUAAUGAGAUUCAUUGUCAUCAUAAAUUUGUAGAUAAAACAGGAUGCUACCGAUAAUAUUAAGCAAGUCAUGUACCAACUCCAGAGGACCACAACCAAUGUCUGCUUCAAGUUCCUUUAACCCUUCCUUCCUUAGCUAGAGCACAAGGAAGAACACAAAAUCAGAUCGUGAGAACUACAAAAAUGUAAGUCAUUGAUCCUAAGCACUCACCAAAGCUAGCCAGAUCCUCCCAUGGCAACCAACCUGGCACUCCACAGUAGAACCUCACCUCUGGCAUCGUCCACUCCUCGUAUGUGUUCCUCGUUACACCUGCAUGACAUUGGGCUAGCUGUAGCUGGUGAC